UCAGGAUUAACGCUGGCGGGAUGCAUAACACAUGCAAGUCGAGCGGCAGCACUUCGGGUGGCGAGCGGCGGACGGCUGAGUAACACGUUGGUACCUACCUCAAACUCAGGUAUAACCCCGAGAAAUCGGAGCUAAUACCGGAUAGACCAGAAAUGGUAAAGCUUCGGCGGUUUGAGAGGGGCCUGCGGCGUAUCAGGCAGUUGGUGGGGUAAUGGCCUACCAAACCUAUGACGCGUACCUGGCGUGAGAGCGCGAACAGGCAGAAUGGGACUGAGACACGGCCCAUACUCCUACGGGAGGCAGCAGUGAGGAAUUUUCCGCAAUGGACGAAAGUCUGACGGAGCAAUCCCGCGUGGAGGAUGACACCUUUCGGGGCGUAAACUCCUUUUCUGAGGGAAGAAAUUUUGACGGUACCUCAGGAAUAAGCACCGGCUAACUACGUGCCAGCAGCCGCGGUAAUACGUAGGGUGCAAGCGUUWAUCCGGAAUUAUUGGGCGUAAAGCGAUCACAGGCGGAGAUGUAGGUCUGAUAUUAAAUACCCACGGCUUAACCGGGGGUCUCGUAUCGGAAACCACAUUUCUAGAGGAAGACAGAGGCAAGUGGAAUUUCCAUUGUAGGGGUUAAAUCCGUAGAUAAUGGAAGGAACACCAAAAGCGAAGGCAUCUUGCUGGGUCUUUUCUGACGCUGCUUGAUCGAAAGCGUGGGGAGCGAAAGGGAUUAGAUACCCCUGUAGUCCACGCCGUAAACGAUGGAUACUCGGUGUUCGGCGGUCCAAUCCCGCUGAGUGCCUAAGCUAACGCGUUAAGUAUCCCGCCUGGGGAGUACGGCCGCAAGGUUAAAACUCAAAGGAAUAGACGGGGAUCCACACAAGCGGUGGAGCGUCUGGUUUAAUUCGAUAGUAAGCGAGGAACCUUACCAGGACUUGACAUCUUCAGAAUCUUGCAGAAAUGUGAGAGUGCCUUCGGGAAUUGAAUGACAGGUGCUGCAUGGUUGUCGUCAGCUCGUGCUUUGAAGUGUUCGGUUAAGUCCGUUAACGAGCGCAACCCUCGUCGUAUGUUGUUUUUUCAUGCGAGACUGCCGAUUUCAAAUCGGAGGAAGGUGGGGAUGACGUCAAAUCAGCAUGGCCCUUAUGUCCUGGGCGACACAGGCGCUACAAUGGCCGGUACAAUGCGUAGCCAAGCCGCAAGGCGGAGCCAAUCGCACCAAAACCGGUCUCAGUUCGGAUUGGGGUCUGAAACCCGACCCCAUGAAGUUGGAAUCGCUAGUAAACGCCGAUCAGACAUGCGGCGUUGAAUAUGUUCCUGGAUCUU
rnacentral:rRNA from 1 species